GUGCCAGCAGCCGCGGUAAUACGGAAGGUCCGGGCGUUAUCCGGAUUUAUUGGGUUUAAAGGGAGCGCAGGCGGGAGAUUAAGCGUGACGUGAAAUGUAGCCGCUCAACGGCUGAUGUGCGUCGCGAACUGGUUUUCUUGAGUGGGUACGACGGAGGCGGAAUUCGUGGUGUAGCGGUGAAAUGCUUAGAUAUCACGAAGAACCCCGAUUGCGAAGCAGCCUCCGAGUCCUCUACUGACGCUAAUGCUCGAAAGUGCGGGUAUCGAACAGGAUUAGAUACCCUGGUAGUCCGCACGGUAAACGAUGGAUGCCCGCUGUUGGCGACACACUGUCAGCGGCCAAGCGAAAGCGUUAAGCAUCCCACCUGGGGAGUACGCCGGCAACGGUGAAACUCAAAGGAAUUGACGGGGGCCCGCACAAGCGGAGGAACAUGUGGUUUAAUUCGAUGAUACGCGAGGAACCUUACCCGGGCUUGAACUGCAGCGGAACGAUUCAGAGAUGAUGAGGUCCUUCGGGACCGCUGUGGAGGUGCUGCAUGGUUGUCGUCAGCUCGUGCCGUGAGGUGUCGGCUUAAGUGCCAUAACGAGCGCAACCCCUUUCUUCAGUUGCCAUCAGUUUUAGCUGGGCACUCUGGAGACACUGCCACCGUAAGGUGCGAGGAAGGUGGGGAUGACGUCAAAUCAGCACGGCCCUUACGUCCGGGGCUACACACGUGUUACAAUGGGUGGUACAGAGAGCUGCCGUCCGCAAGGCCGGCCGAAUCAUGAAAGCCAUCCUCAGUUCGGAUUGGGGUCUGCAACCCGACCCCAUGAAGCUGGAUUCGCUAGUAAUCGCGCAUCAGCCAUGGCGCGGUGAAUACGUUCCCGGGCCUUGUACACACCGCCCGU
rnacentral:rRNA from 1 species